AAGUAGUGGGUAUACGUGGGUUCUGGCUCACCCCCCACCGUCCUCCUCGCACCCCUGUUUUUUGGAAGUCACGGGCGAACCACCAGCUAAAAAAAAAAAAAAAAAAAAAAAAAAAAAAAAAAAAAAAAAAAAAAAAAAAAAAAAAAAAAAGUGAAACCCCCCCCAUCUAAAUCGAUUGCGCUGGGUCCUGCAUCGCUACGUUGCACCGUUCCCGAGAUAGUUUUUGGGAUUCAGGGACUCCUAGAUGAUUUGCUAAUCACCACUAAUGACCUGUGCACAUUAAUGCGAAUUCAGCUAUUUCUAAGAAUACUUGUUUGCUCGUUAAAAUCAAGAUCAAUAAUUGACAAACCAUUUGUAAUCAGGAAUACUUGUUUGCUCGUUAAAAUUCGAUCGAAAUUGGUAUAAAACACCAACGCUGCGAUGAUAUCUUCACAGUUUGCGCUUCAUAUCCCGAGGAAGAAAUAAAUCAGCUUCUACAAGUGUCAAGGAAAGUGAAGAGUCUUCGUCAGUUCAUUGUAAGGAUCAUGGAUAUUACACGCUGUAUGAAGAAUGUAGAGGACACCGAUGUGGAGGAAAAUACCUACAAGCACUAUUACUUUCCUCUAUCUGAUGAUGAGGGAUCAUACCAACCGCAUGCCAAACGAAUUGAAACAAUCGACGAGUUCUUUGAGGAACCAAAGAAUAAGAAAAGGAAAUGCUCUUCUACCGUUGGACGAUCCACUAAAAAUGGAAUGGUUUAUAUUUCAUCCAACUCCGAUGAUGGAACCGGUGCGGCGCACCUAAUAAAAAUAGAAGUUUACAACCUAAAAAAAUUAGCGAAUAUCGAGCAGAACCAGCAUUGGAAACAUGCAGAAGUUCGCGUUAAAUAUUAUGCGAAACCAGGCGAUAAACACAACGAUCGAACUCGUGAGAUCAUUCACGCUAUUACUAAGCAAAUUGCAACCAAAGAAGAUUGUGAAAAAUACUUUUACAAAAAUAAGGAUGAAUAAAAAAAGGAAAUGCUCUUCUACCGUUGGACGAUCCACUAAAAAUGGAAUGGUUUAUAUUUCAUCCAACUCCGAUGAUGGAACCGGUGCGGCGCAUCUAAUAAAAAUAGAAGUUUACAACC